AUUUUCUUCCUCUUCGUCUUACUUUCUGCAAUGGCGAGAUCAGGCCCUCCUAAUCUCGUCGGCUCCAUGGACGAAAUACGAAGAAUAUUCAACAAGUUUGACAAAAACGGCGACGGAAGGAUCUCGUCCUCGGAGGUUAUUGACAGCCUGGGUGAGCUCGGCACCACAAUAUCAGCAGAGGAGGUCCACUGCAUGAUUCAGGAGUUUGACAAGGACGGGGACGGCCACNACCUCGACGAGUUCGUCGACUUCAUUCAGCGCGGCUCCGAUGGAACAACGCAGAGCGGCGGUGCGAACAAGGAGCUGAAGGAUGCUUUUGAUAUGUACGAUAUUGAUAAGAAUGGGUUGAUUUCGGCGAAUGAAUUGCACAAGGUUAUGAGGAUGCUUGGGCUUAAAUGCACGUUGAGCGAUUGUACUAAGAUGAUUCGUCAGGUCGACCAAGACGGCGACGGCAACGUCAAUUUCGAGGAGUUUAAGAAGAUGAUGACUAACGGGUUAGUGUAAGAUUAAACAACAGUUACGUGGUUUAAUUUGCAUGUGUAAAUAAUAAGGCUUUAGUUAGGACCGUUUUAUCGUAGUUUCCAAUGUCGUUUCUGCCUUGAAUUCUCGAAAUUGACGUUGCCGUCGCCGUCUU
rnacentral:misc_RNA from 1 species